rnacentral:rRNA from 1 species
GAUGAACGCGGGCGGCGUGCCUAAUACAUGCAAGUCGAGCGAACAGAUGAGGAGCUUGCUCCUCUGACGUGAGCGGCGGACGGGUGAGUAACACGUGGAUAACCUACCUAUAAGACUGGGAUAACUGCGGGAAACCGGAGCUAAUACCGGAUAAUAUAUUGAACCGCAUGGUUCAAUAGUGAAAGACGGUUUUGCUGUCACUUAUAGAUGGAUCCGCGCCGCAUUAGCUAGUUGGUAAGGUAACGGCUUACCAAGGCAACGAUGCGUAGCCGACCUGAGAGGGUGAUCGGCCACACUGGAACUGAGACACGGUCCAGACUCCUACGGGAGGCAGCAGUAGGGAAUCUUCCGCAAUGGGCGAAAGCCUGACGCAGCAACGCCGCGUGAGUGAUGAAGGUCUUCGGAUCGUAAACCUCUGUUGUUAGGGAAGAACAAAUGUGUAAGUAACUAUGCACGUCUUGACGGUACCUAAUCAGAAAGCCACGGCUAACUACGUG